UACGUAGGCAGCAAGCGUUGUUCGGAAUUACUGGGCGUAAAGAGUUCGUAGGCGGUGUGCCAAGUUUGGUGUGAAAUCUCCCGGCUCAACUGGGAGGGUGCGCCGAAUACUGGCAUGCUCGAGUACAGGAGAGGAAAGCGGAAUUUCUGGUGUAGCGGUGAAAUGCGUAGAUAUCAGAAGGAACACCUGUGGUGUAGACGGCUUUCUGGACUGUAACUGACGCUGAGGAACGAAAGCGUGGGUAGCAAAACGG
rnacentral:rRNA from 1 species